rnacentral:lncRNA from 1 species
GUUUUUUCUUAAAGUAUCUUAGUGCUUGUCAAGUCUCCAGAAGAUCAUUAAGAAUAAUAUCUUGUUCAUUAAAAAUUAUUUACAGACCAUCCCAAGGGAAACACUUGGAACUAACACUUCCACAGGGAAUGUACUCCAAAAAUCCUAGCAGUACAUUGCUGGCCUCCUAAUUAGCAGGUUAGGACAGCUCUGUGCGUCUCUUGGGGGACUCAUAAAAGAUUACAAUUAAUUGGGAAAGUCAGUCCAUAAAGUACAUUCUAUAAGGAGAGUUCAAACAGAAUAGCUGUCUUUUUUAUGCUUCUUUAGUUAAUGCUAACUAAGUGCCAUCAAAGUUGGAAAACUUUUUUAUUGAACUUUAAUUCCUUAUACAAAUUCUUGUUCAGUGUUCUCAUUUUCAGGAGAGUGGAAGGGAACCCAAAGUUUCAGUGAAUUGACAGAUCCUGGAUGACGUAUGUCAAAAGAUUUGGUGAAUCCCCCCUUUUCCCUCAGAAUCCCCAGUUUCACUUACUGUAAGUGGCAAAACCACAGGUAAAAGAAAGAGUCGUGAUUUUUUCAUGUGUCUGUUGGCUGUAUGAAUGUCUUCUUUGGAGAAAUGCCUGUUCAUAUCCUUUGCCCACUUUUUGAUGGGGUUGUUUGUUUUUUUCUUUUGCCCACUUUUUGAUGGGGUUGUUUGUUUUUUUCUUGUAAAUUUGUUUGAGUUCUUUGUAGGUUCUGGAUAUUAGCCCUUUGUCAGAUGAGUAGAUUGCAAAAAUUUUCUCCCAUUCUUAGGUUGCCUGUUCACUCUGAUGGUAGUUUCUUUGCUGUGCAGAGGCUCUUUAGUUUAAUUAGAUCCCAUUUGUCAAUUUUGGCUUUUGCUGCCAUUGUUUUUGGUGUUUUAGACAUGAAGUCUUUGCUCAUGCCUAUGUCCUGAAUGGUACUACCUAGGUUUUCCUCUAGGGUUUUUAUGGUAUUAGGACUAACAUUUAAGUCUCGAAUCCAUCUUGAAUUAAUUUUCAUAUAAGGAGUAAGGAAAGGAUCCAGUUUCAGCUUUCUACUUAUGGCUAGCCAAUUUUCCCAGCACCAUUUAUUAAAUAGGGAAUCCUUUCCCCAUGUCUUGUUUCUCUCAGGUUUGUCAAAGAUCAGAUGGCUGUAGAUGUGUGGUAUUAUUUCUGAGGACUCUGUUCUGUUCCAUUGGUCUAUAUCUCUGUUUUGGUACCAGUACCAUGCUGUUUUGGUUACUGUAGCCUUGUAGUAUAGUUUGAAGUCAGGUAGUGUGAUGCCUCCAGUUUUGUUCUUUUGACUUAGGAUUGUCUUGGAGAUGCAGGCUCAAACCAUCAAAGAUCAAAAGAGACAAAGAAGGCCAUUACAUAAUAGUAAAAGGAUCAAUUCAACAGGAAGAGCUAACUAUCCUAAAUAUAUAUGCACCCAAUACAGGAGCACCCAGAUUCAUAAAGCAAGUACUUAGAGACUUACAAAGAGACU